GUCUAGUCCCUAUUCCUUGGCCUUCUGUGCUCCCCUCUCAUCACGAGCCCGGAACUUACCUUGGACUCUUCUGAUGAUGCGGUGACAUUUCCCUAAUGCCAUUGGGAGCCCAUGCAGGCUGGGACUUCGCACCCCUGUCCUAAUAAAGGGUUUGGCACAUGGUACUUGCUCAGCGGUAAUUACAUGCUGGAUUCAAUGAAAGAAGAAGAAAGAUAAAGAGAUACUUGGCAAGAGGAGAGAUUGCCAAUGUGAAAAGAAAGGGCAAUGGGAUGCCGGUGAAGUCCAGCGUAGUGAGAUCGCUCCACGUUGUUAAGAGGCGACAGUGGGAGGAGGCAAUGGGAAGGCGGAAUUCAAUGGCUUUCCUCCUGUGAAUGAGACACUUGACUGGGCCUUACACUGAGAACCUAUUUCUGCCUGGCUGGCGCCCUCCUCCACCUAACCCCCCACGGCUUGACCAUGGCUGAGGCCAAGUCCACCACUCUCUACUCACCCCUUCCUGACUGUGCAAUUGGCAUCUCCCAGUAGAAUGAGGAGUGCUGAGUAUAGUGUGGACCCAAGUAUGUAAAAACACGCCUGGCACAGUAGAUCAUGCCUGUUAUCCCAGCACUUUGGGAGGCCAAGGCAGGAGGAUUGCUCAAGCGCAGGAGUUUGAGACCAGCCUGGGCAACAUAGCGAGACCUUAACUCUACCAAAAUUCAUAAUAAUAAAAAAAAACUUAACCACUUGUGGUGGCACAUGCCUGUAGUUGUAGCCACUUGGGAGGCCAAGAUGGAGGGAUCUCUUGAGCCUGGGAGUUCAAGGCUGCAGUGAACCAAGAUUGUGCCACUACACUCCAGCCUGGGCGACAAGGAGAGAUCCUGUCCCUAAAAAAAUAAAAUUAAAAAUAAGGUAACAUUUGAACAAAAAGCAGUAACUGUGAGAAUCAAAGGACAGCAAGGCCAGCUGAUGUCCCCGCCUGCUGCAGGCCUGUUUCCCCACCUCUGGGCGCUCUCCUGGAUGAUCUACCCUGUUCACAGCAGUGGCUUUAGAACCCUGGGCACCAUGCCAGGGCUCCAGGCAGCCUCACUGUUCAGCUGCAGUGUGGGACCCCCACAGCCUCACCUUGGCCUGUGGCCUCAGGUCCAUGGCCCUGGAGCCCACUUAGGAAGGGCUGUGCCACCUGUGUGGAAACUACUGGUUUUUGGGUCACAAACCAUAUUCCACCAUCAGGGUCACCAUCAUCUUCUCUCAGCUGCCAGUCUUCUCUUUGGACGUACCUCAAAGGAAAGGUGAGAUCAAAGAAAACAAAAUGGAAUAAAAUAAAAUAAAUGGAAGUGCUGAGCCAUCAGUGCCAUUUCUGAGCAAGCACCUUUUUUUUUUAGUUCUAACCCAUUCUGUUGAGAAAAUGUGACUCUGCAAAGACUGGAGAGUGAGAUCUCUGGAAAGUGCUUCCCGUGCAAAACUCCCAUUUUUCAUGUCUCUGAAUCAAUAUUUGUAGAUUGACCCCAUGUGCCGGGGCGAGACACUGCCUCCCGUUGUUCACCUCUGAUCGGAUGCUCCCUUCCUUAUGGAGGCUGCUGGUGCAGGUAAGGGCUUCCUCUCACUUGCUCCCAAGGAGCCCAGAAAGAGUGAUCCCAUCAUGGAGCAGCAGAAAGUUUCCAUUUGUUUGAAGAGGAGAAUAUGCUGGACUCGCUGGAUGAAGCCUUGAGCCGAGAGUCCUGCCCUGUGCCCUGGAGCGGAGCUGAGUGACUCACCCCCUGUUCUCUGCUGGGAGUGGAGGGUCCAUGCGGCUUUCCUCCCUUUCUUUCACCUGGAACUCAGCAAGUCAUACCUUCUCAGAGACUUCUGCAGAGCAGCAAGACAAAGCUUACUCAGAGGCGCCCACAGACCAGGAAGGGAGCCUCUGCCUUCAGCCAGGCUUGGAAGAACACCAGGAAAGCAAAAGGUGGUGGUGGGGACCUUCUCCAUGUUUAUGGGUCUAUGCUGAAAAUCCCAGUACAGAUAUGAGGAAAGAGCCCUCUUAUGGGCAAUGGAAAAGCUUAGAUUGGUUCAAAUAACACAGUGAAGCCUACUGAUUUAAGAUGAUGCUUUGAAUAGAACACUUAAAAUUUAGGUCUUUCCUUAGCCUCUGAGUUGUAUAAACCACAUGAUGUGGGGACUUUGAUGUCCUCCAGUUUCUUUCUGAUUUGAAAUGGAGCUAAUGCUAUCUCCUGCCACCUCCCAGAAGGACACAGAGGAAAUAUAAACAUUGACGUGGUGGUGGCAUCUUAGUAAAAAAAAAAUCACGAGGGUUCAGUUUGCUAAAGCAAGACUUGGAAUGACCUGAUAAAUGGCCAGGAAAGACCAACUGUGGGAAAUAAAUUCCUCUCCAGACUUUAGCUGUUGGGGUUAGGAUUUCCAGUUCAUAGCUUUACUUAGGAAGGUGAGCAGGCUCAGAAAAUGCACAGACCCCUUUGAGGGCUGAGCACCCAGACAGGGCGGCUGGCUCAGCUGGAUAAUUCCUCUGGAUUAGGGGAACUCUGGGGGAGGGAUUUUAAUAAGCGGAAAUGUCUCCCCACUCAUGGAAUAAUGGGUUGAGACAAAGAGCAGCUGGAAAUCAAGAGAAGGCCAAAGAGGGCGAGAGAGAAAGAUAAUGUGAGAAGAGGAAAGAAGAAAGGACCGCUAGCUACAGCAGAGGGUUCAUUCUCAGGGGAAAACUCAUGCUAAAAUUCAAGAAAACCUCUCCUAAAGUAAGCUGUUUGGCGAUCUUGAGAAAGGCUUAGCCUCUGGAAGCAAAGUGUUAGCUAAAUACAAAGACUUGAUAUAGUCUGGAUGUUUGUCCAAGCCUCAAGUUGAAAUUUGAUCUCCAAUGUUGGACGUGGGGUCUAACGGGAGGUGCUGAGUCCUGGGGCAGAUCCCUCAUGAACAGAUUCAUAACCUCCCUGUAGGGGGUUGUGAGUGAGUUCUCUAUUAGUUCCUGCAAGAACUGGUUGUUUAAAAGAGCCUGGCGCUUCCUCUCUCUCUUUUCUUCCCUCUCCAUGUGAUUUCUGCACCCGCUGGCUCCCCUCCAACUUCCACCAAGAGUGGAAGCAACCUGAGACCCUCACCGAUGCAGAUGCCCAAACUUGGACUUUUUCAGACACCAGCAUUUUAUUCCAUCUACCAGUCUAAUGAACUGAAAGUCAAAAGACAGGACUAGACAAUCAUCCCUUACACAGACAGCCUUUCUCUGUCUCUCUGUUGCCCAAG
rnacentral:lncRNA from 1 species